rnacentral:rRNA from 1 species
GCAUCUUCUGAGGAAGAAAGGAUUUAUUCGGUACAGGAUGGGCCCGCAUCUGAUUAGCUAGUUGGUGAGAUAACAGCCCACCAAGGCGACGAUCAGUAGCCGACCUGAGAGGGUGAUCGGCCACAUUGGGACUGAGACACGGCCCAAACUCCUACGGGAGGCAGCAGUGGGGAAUAUUGCACAAUGGGCGAAAGCCUGAUGCAGCAACGCCGCGUGAAGGAUGAAGGGUUUCGGCUCGUAAACUUCUAUCAAUAGGGAAGAAACAAAUGACGGUACCUAAAUAAGAAGCCCCGGCUAACUACGUGCCAGCAGCCGCGGUAAUACGUAGGGGGCAAGCGUUAUCCGGAAUUACUGGGUGUAAAGGGAGCGUAGGCGGCAUGGUAAGCCAGAUGUGAAAGCCUUGGGCUUAACCCGAGGAUUGCAUUUGGAACUAUCAAGCUAGAGUACAGGAGAGGAAAGCGGAAUUCCUAGUGUAGCGGUGAAAUGCGUAGAUAUUAGGAAGAACACCAGUGGCGAAGGCGGCUUUCUGGACUGAAACUGACGCUGAGGCUCGAAAGCGUGGGGAGCAAACAGGAUUAGAUACCCUGGUAGUCCACGCCGUAAACGAUGAGUGCUAGGUGUCGGGGAGGAAUCCUCGGUGCCG